UACAGAGGUCUCAAGCGUUGUUCGGAUUCAUUGGGCGUAAAGGGUGCGUAGGCGGGCUGCCAAGUUUGGGGUGAAAUCCUCCGGCUCAACCGGGGAAGUGCCUUGAAUACUGGCGGUCUCGAGGGAGGUAGGGGCGUGCGGAACUAACGGUGGAGCGGUGAAAUGCGUUGAUAUCGUUAGGAACUCCGGUGGCGAAGGCGGCACGCUGGACCUCUUCUGACGCUGAGGCACGAAAGCCAGGGGAGCGAACGGG
rnacentral:rRNA from 1 species